GAUGAACGCUAGCGGCAGGCCUAAUACAUGCAAGUCGAACGGGAUCUGAGGGUAGCUUGCUACCCGAUUUGAGAGUGGCGCACGGGUGCGUAACGCGUGAGCAACCUACCCAUAUCAGGGGGAUAGCCCGAAGAAAUUCGGAUUAACACCGCAUAAUAAUACGCUAACACAUGUUGAUGUAUUUAAAUAUUUAUAGGAUAUGGAUGGGCUCGCGUGACAUUAGCUAGUUGGUAAGGUAACGGCUUACCAAGGCGACGAUGUCUAGGGGCUCUGAGAGGAGAAUCCGCAAGACUGGAACUGAGAAACGGACCAGAGUCCUACGGGAGGCAGAAGUAAGGAAUAUUGGUCAAUGGGCGCAAGCCUGAACCAGCCAUGCCGCGUGCAGGAUGACUGCCCUAUGGGUUGUAAACUGCUUUUGUUAGGGAAUAAACCUUCUUACGUGUAAGGAGCUGAAUGUACCUAAAGAAUAAGGAUCGGCUAACUCCGUGCCAGCCGCCGCGGUAA
rnacentral:rRNA from 1 species